UCCUCUGUAGUUCAGUCGGUAGAACGGCGGACUGUUAAUCCGUAUGUCACUGGUUCGAGUCCUGGUUCGAGUCCAGUCAGAGGAGCCA
rnacentral:tRNA from 1 species